rnacentral:rRNA from 1 species
AUUGAACGCUGGCGGCAGGCCUAACACAUGCAAGUCGAGCGGAUGACGGGAGCUUGCUCCUUGAUUCAGCGGCGGACGGGUGAGUAAUGCCUAGGAAUCUGCCUGGUAGUGGGGGACAACGUUUCGAAAGGAACGCUAAUACCGCAUACGUCCUACGGGAGAAAGCAGGGGACCUUCGGGCCUUGCGCUAUCAGAUGAGCCUAGGUAGGAUUAGCUAGUUGGGGGGGUAAUGGCUCACCAAGGCGACGAUGCGUAACUGGUCUGAGAGGAUGAACAGUCACACUUGAACUGGGACACGGUCCAGACUCCUGCGGGAGGCAGCAGUGGGGAAUAUUGGACAAUGGGCUAAAGCCUGAUCCAGCCAUGCCGCGUGUGUGAAGAAGGUCUUCGGAUUGUAAAGCACUUUAAGUUGGGAGGAAGGGCAGUAAGUUAAUACCUUGCUGUUUUGACGUUACCGACAGAAUAAGCACCGGCUAACUCUGUGCCAGCAGCCGCAGUAA